rnacentral:rRNA from 1 species
GACGUAGGGCGCGAGCGUUUGUCCGGAUUUAUUGGGCGUAAAGAGCUCGUAGGUCGGCUGCGUUGCGUCGGCUGAUCGGAAAACCCGCAGCCUCAACUGUGGGCGUUGCAGGCUGAUACGGGCGGGCGUGGGAUUCGGAUAGGGGAGACUGGAAGUUCCUGGUGUAGCGGUGAAAUGCGCAGAUAUCAGGAAGAACACCGAUGGCGAAGGCAGGUCUCUGGGCCAACUAACUGACGCUGGAGAAGCGAAAGCCAUGGGGGAGCGAACAGG